rnacentral:lncRNA from 1 species
UCUGUCCCUCAUGUGUGCUACUAGGAAAAACAUUUCCUUUCUAUUAACUAUAUGCUUUUUAGUUUUUAUCUCUAUAGAACCUUACAUUUUACAUACAGCUCUCCUUAGUGCAGCAUGAAAUAUGUGUUUUUGGUAACAUGUCAAAAUCCUAUAGUUUGUAAAGAAUCAGAAUCAAGUUUCCUAUCAGGGUGAUUAUUCAGUGAUACAUCACAUCAAGAAUUAUAAAACUUCGUGGUAAAUUAUUUCUAUUUUAAUUAAUUGUCCUUUAGCAAAACUAUUAAAUUUUUUGCUUUGGAAAAUUAUACAACUAUAUAAAAACAUUUUUCAUGUAAUUGAUAUUUAGAAAAUUAUAUCAUAAUCCAAGAUAGAGCCAUUAUCUAAAAACUCACAGCUGGCACCUUCACCUUUAUGCUAUAUUAUGUCGUUAUAUCAUAUUUGCACAAAGGAGUGCCACUUUUUGAAAUUUCAGAUCUCACAUAUUCUGAACCUUGUUUUAGAUAAAUGUAAUGUUCUAAGUUUUAAAUGAUCAAUACACACUUUCCCUCUAGUUAAUCAGAAGUGAUGAUCUGGCAUGCAUUUUUUUUUAAUCUUUUAUUCUUCAGAAUUCUUUUCCAAUUCAAGGUCGGAGUCCACCAAUUUCUUUAAACCAGAGAUCGAUAACAAAAUUAGAAUGUAUUUUUCAUGACAAAUUGCAAUUUGUAGGAUUUUUACAGGCAAUCCCUGAUUUUUAGAGGUGGAAUACACGGUAAUGUUCCCAAGUUGGUCCUGUAAACGAAAAAGCAAAGGCCAGCUAAGAAAAUCCUGUUCCAGGUUUUCGGGUGGCCCGUUUGAUUGACAUAUGAUAUCACUGGAGGCGGGUCCUGCAGUGGAGGUGGAGGUGGUGGAGAGGAGCUGAAAUUCUGCGGAACUGGAGUGGGAUCGCUCUGUAAGGCACGCAAGUGGUUUGCAGAAUGAUAGCGGCAGACAGAGCUCCAUGCCCUGGAUAAGGAACAGCUGCAGUGGCUGUACAUGUGCCUGAAAAGCAAUUUCCAAUCUUUGCAUUAGCAGGCGCCUCGGCCGCGGAAUCGCAGGGUCGGAGCACUGGGAGUGCGCGCUGCCCACAAGAGUCUUUCAGCAGCAGAGUUCCCGGGAACGCGUGCCCAGCGUGCGCGAUCCGGAAAACGCCUGGCCUGCGCGGGGACCUGGGACUACGCCCGCCCACCCCUUUCCGAGAAGGACCCC